UGGCAUCCAAGAUAGGAGUU
rnacentral:piRNA from 1 species